rnacentral:tRNA from 1 species
CGUGGCCUUGUGGUUAAGAUGCCUGGCUCAUAACCUGAAGGUCGCAGGCUC